GAAGCUGCGGUUGGAGGGUGUGAGAGAGCGCGUUAGUGAUUGGGCAAUGCGGAUGGGGGCGUUUUGGUCAUUUACGCACGUGACCGGAGCUGCGGCGGCGGUGCUGGUGGCGUUGGUUUGUUACGCGGGGGUUCGAAGGCGGCGUCGGAGGGUGGUUCGUUGGGUUCAUCUUCUCAGAGAGAAAGAUGAGAAAAUUAGCCAACUCUUAUUUCAGAUUGCACAACUAAGUGAAGUAUUAUCAUCUCGUCGUAAGGUUUCCGUGCAUCGAGUCAACUGAUGCAAGUUUUGUAGUGUUGACUUAGUAUAAUAUUGUAAAUUGUAUAUGAACUUGUCACUACACUUAUAAAUAGUUGCACUCAGCAUCAUCAUAAAUAUAUGAAAAGUUGUACUCUUA